UGGGGAAUUUUGGACAAUGGACGCAAGUCUGAUCCAGCCAUGCCGCGUGCGGGAAGAAGGCCUUCGGGUUGUAAACCGCUUUUGUCAGGGAAGAAACGAGUUUCUCUAAUACAGAGACUUAAUGACGGUACCUGAAGAAUAAGCACCGGCUAACUACGUGCCAGCAGCCGCGGUAAUACGUAGGGUGCAAGCGUUAAUCGGAAUUACUGGGCGUAAAGCGUGCGCAGGCGGUUAUGCAAGACAGAUGUGAAAUCCCCGGGCUCAACCUGGGAACUGCAUUUGUGACUGCAUAGCUGGAGUGCGGCAGAGGGGGAUAGAAUUCCGCGUGUAGCAGUGAAAUGCGUAGAUAUGCGGAGGAACACCGAUGGCGAAGGCAAUCCCCUGGGCCUGUACUGACGCUCAUGCACGAAAGCGUGGGGAGCAAACA
rnacentral:rRNA from 1 species